rnacentral:piRNA from 1 species
GGUUUCUUUGAACUAUUAUGUGACUAUGGC